rnacentral:rRNA from 1 species
AAAGACUAAGCCAUGCAUGCCUAAGUACUCGGUCUGGCAUACCGAAACCGCGGAUGGCUCAUUAUAACAGCUAUGAUUUAAGAGACUUAGUUGGCAAUCUUGCCACAGGAUAACUGUNGGUAAUUCUAGAGCUAAUACUUUUCAAAAUGCCGUGACGAAAGAAGCGGUGUAUUUAUUAGAAUCAAAACCAAUCUGUCGCAAGACAGUGUUUUGGUGACUCUGGAUAAUCUCAACUGAUCGUACGGCCUUUGUGUCGACGACCGAUCUCUUAAAGUGGCUGACCUAUCAACUUUAGAUGGUAAGGUAACUGCUUACCAUGGUUGUAACGGGUAACGGGGAAUCAGGGUUCGAUUCCGGAGAGGGAGCCUGAGAAACGGCUACCACAUCCACGGAUGGCAGCAGGCGCGUAACAUGCCCAAUGCGAGUGCAAGCUCGUGAGGCUGUAAAGAAUCAUAACAAUAUGGGCCAUUUUAUGGACUCAUAAUUGCAAUGAGAUAAUUUUAAAUACUUUUACGAGUAUCAAUUGGAGGGCAAGUCUGGUGCCAGCAGCCGCGGUAAUUCCAGCUCCAAUAGCGUAUAUUAAAGUUGUUGCAGUUAAAAAGCUCGUAGUCGAAAUUGAGGAAUCGUGAUGGGUUGAUGAUCUGUUGAUCGUUGCCUAUCUGAUCCUUCUGAGCUGUGUCUAUGUCCGAUGCUCUUCAUUUGGGUGUUGGAUGUAACCGGCAAGUUUACUUUGAAAAAAUUAGAGUGCUUAAAGCAGGCUUUACGCUUGCAUAUUUGUGCAUGGAAUAAUGAAAUAAGACUUCGGUUUUAUUUUGUUGGUUUUACGAAUCGAAGUAAUGAUUAACAGAGACUGCCGGGGGCAUGCGUAUGCUGAUGGGAGAGGUGAAAUUCAUAGAUCAUCAGCAGACGAUCUAAUGCGAAAGCCUUUGCCAAGAAUGUUUUCAUUGAUCAAGAACGAAAGUCAGAGGAUCGAAGACGAUCAGAUACCGUCCUAGUUCUGACCAUAAACUAUGCCAACUGACGGUCCGCGGAGGUACCAAUUGAUGUCCUUGCGAGAAGUCAUCCCGGAAACCAUAAGUCUAUGGGUUCCGGGGGAAGUAUGGUUGCAAAGCUGAAACUUAAAAGAAUUGACGGAAAGGCACCACCAGGAGUGGAGCCUGCGGCUUAAUUUGACUC